GGGGGUGGGAGUGGCUCAGUGGUAGAGCAUCUGUUUGGCAUGCAGAAAGUCCUAGGUUCAAAGUCUGGCAUUUCCA
rnacentral:tRNA from 1 species